UACGUAGGGGGCUAGCGUUGUCCGGAAUCAUUGGGCGUAAAGAGCGUGUAGGCGGCCCGGUAAGUCCGCUGUAAAAGUCAAAGGCUCAACCUUUGAAUGUCAGUGGAUACUGCCGGGCUAGAGUCCGGAAGAGGCGAGUGGAACUCCUGGUGUAGCGGUGGAAUGCGCAGAUAUCAGGAAGAACACCAACGGCGAAGGCAGCUCGCUGGGACGGUACUGACGCUGGAGAACGCGAAAGCGUGGGGAGCGAACAGG
rnacentral:rRNA from 1 species